rnacentral:rRNA from 1 species
UGCGUAGGCUGAAUAGUCAGUCAGUGGUGAAAUCCUACAGCUUAACUGUAGAACUGCCAUUGAUACUGCUAUUCUUGAGUACAGUUGAGGUAGGCGGAAUGUGUAGUGUAGCGGUGAAAUGCUUAGAUAUUACACAGAACACCGAUUGCGAAGGCAGCUUACUAAACUGUUACUGACACUGAGGUACGAAAGCGUGGGGAGCGAACAGGAUUAGAUACCCUGGUAGUCC